rnacentral:rRNA from 1 species
GUGGGGAAUAUUGCGCAAUGGGCGAAAGCCUGACGCAGCAACGCCGCGUGGGGGAUGAAGGUUCUCGGAUUGUAAACCCCUUUCGAUCGGAACGAAUCCCCUCCUGAUGAACAAUCAGGAGGGUCGACGGUACCGAGAGAAGAAGCCACGGCUAACUCUGUGCCAGCAGCCGCGGUAAGACAGAGGUGGCGAGCGUUGUUCGGAUUUAUUGGGCGUAAAGCGCACGCAGGCGGUUUGGUAAGUCAGAGGUGAAAUUCCGCAGCUUAACUGCGGGACUGCCUUUGAUACUGCCUUUCUCGAGUGCAUGAGGGGGAAGCGGAAUUCCGGGUGUAGAGGUGAAAUUCGUAGAUAUCCGGAGGAACACCGGUGGCGAAGGCGGCUUCCUGGCAUGUAACUGACGCUCAGGUGCGAAAGCGUGGGUAGCAAACAGGAUUAGAAACCCGGGUAGUCC